GAUGAACGCUGGCGGCGUGCCUAAUACAUGCAAGUCGAGCGAACGGACGAGAAGCUUGCUUCUCUGAUGUUAGCGGCGGACGGGUGAGUAACACGUGGAUAACCUACCUAUAAGACUGGGAUACCUUCGGGAAACCGGAGCUAAUACCGGAUGAUAUUUUGAACCGCAUGGUUCAAAAGUGAAAGACGGUCUUGCUGUCACUUAUAGAUGGAUCCGCGCUGCAUUAGCUAGUUGGUAAGGUAACGGCUUACCAAGGCAACGAUGCAUAGCCGACCUGAGAGGGUGAUCGGCCACACUGGAACUGAGACACGGUCCAGACUCCUACGGGAGGCAGCAGUAGGGAAUCUUCCGCAAUGGGCGAAAGCCUGACGGAGCAACGCCGCGUGAGUGAUGAAGGUCUUCGGAUCGUAAAACUCUGUUAUUAGGGAAGAACAUAUGUGUAAGUAACUGUGCACAUCUUGACGGUACCUAAUCAGAAAGCCACGGCUAACUACGUG
rnacentral:rRNA from 1 species